rnacentral:rRNA from 1 species
GCUAUUUGGGUGAGAAUAAGCCAUGCGAGUUGAAUGGAAUACCUAAAUUUUCCAUGGCAAACUGCUCAGUAACACAUGAUCAACUUACCCUAUAGAGAAAAAUAACCUCCGGAAACUGAGAUAAUGUUCAUAUUGAAAAGGCUUGGAAAAGUUUUCAUCAAAGGAUAAAAAAAAUGGUUUUUAUCCGCUAUAGGAUAGGAUCGUGCUCGAUUAUGGUUGUUGGUGAGGUAAUGGCUCACCAAGCCGAUAAUCGAUAGGGCCGUGAGAGCGGGAGCCCCGAGAUGGGUACUGAGACAACGACCCAGGCCUUACGAGGCGCAGCAGGCGCGAAACCUCCGCAAUACACGAAAGUGUGACGGGGUUACCCAAAGUGUUCAGUUUUGAACUGUGGUAGGUGAGUAAUGUCCCCUACUAGAAAGGAGAGGGCAAGGCUGGUGCCAGCCGCCGCGGUAAAACCAGCUCUUCAAGUGGCCGGGAUAAUUAUUGGGCUUAAAGUGUCCGUAGCCGGUUUAGUAAGUUCCUGGUAAAAUCGGGUAGCUUAACUAUCUGUAUGCUAGGAAUACUGCUAAACUAGAGGGCGGGAGAGGUCUGAGGUACUACAGGGGUAGGGGUGAAAUCUUAUAAUCCUUGUAGGACCACCAGUGGCGAAGGCGUCAGACUGGAACGUGCCUGACGGUGAGGGACGAAAGCCAGGGGAGCGAACCGGAUUAGAUACCCGGGUAGUCCUGGCCGUAAACGAUGCAUACUAGGUGAUGGCAUGGCCAUGAGCCGUGUCAGUGCCGUAGGGAAACCGUUAAGUAUGCCGCCUGGGAAGUACGGUCGCAAGGCUAAAACUUAAAGGAAUUGGCGGGGGAGCACCACAAGGGGUGAAGCCUGCGGUUCAAUUGGAGUCAACGCCGGAA